CCUACGGGAGGCAGCAGUGGGGAAUAUUGCACAAUGGGCGGAAGCCUGAUGCAGCAACGCCGCGUGCGGGAUGACGGCCUUCGGGUUGUAAACCGCUUUCGCCUGUGACGAAGCGUGAGUGACGGUAAUGGGUAAAGAAGCACCGGCUAACUACGUGCCAGCAGCCGCGGUGAUACGUAGGGUGCGAGCGUUGUCCGGAUUUAUUGGGCGUAAAGGGCUCGUAGGUGGUUGAUCGCGUCGGAAGUGUAAUCUUGGGGCUUAACCCUGAGCGUGCUUUCGAUACGGGUUGACUUGAGGAAGGUAGGGGAGAAUGGAAUUCCUGGUGGAGCGGUGGAAUGCGCAGAUAUCAGGAGGAACACCAGUGGCGAAGGCGGUUCUCUGGGCCUUUCCUGACGCUGAGGAGCGAAAGCGUGGGGAGCGAACAGGCUUAGAUACCCUGGUAGUCCACGCUGUAAACGGUGGGUACUAGGUGUGGGGUCCAUUCCACGGGUUCCGUGCCGUAGCUAACGCUUUAAGUACCCGCCUGGGGAGGUACGGCCGCAGACGAACUACGAAGAAGUAGACGCGNGNGAACGUGCCGACGACGACGACGAGGGAGGAGG
rnacentral:rRNA from 1 species